GGCCUUAUACAUGCAAGUCGAACGGUAACAUUGGUGCUUGCACCAGAUGACGAGUGGCGCACGGGUGCGUAACGCGUAUGCAACCUACCUUUUACUAGAGUAUAGCCCAGAGAAAUUUGGAUUAAUCCUCUAUAACAUCUUUUAAUUUCAUGAUUAUUAGAUUAAAGUUUUAACGGUAAAAGAUGGGCAUGCGUCCUAUUAGUUUGUAGGUGAGGUAACGGCUCACCUAGACUACGAUAGGUAGGGGCCCUGAGAGGGGGAUCCCCCACACUGGUACUGAGACACGGACCAGACUCCUACGGGAGGCAGCAGUAAGGAAUAUUGGACAAUGGACGAAAGUCUGAUCCAGCCAUGCCGCGUGCAGGAUGAAAGCCCUAUGGGUUGUAAACUGCUUUUAUACAGGAAGAAAAACUCCGACGUGUCGGAGCUUGACGGUACUGUAAGAAUAA
rnacentral:rRNA from 1 species